rnacentral:RNase_P_RNA from 1 species
UCAGGCGGCCGGAUGAUCGCUGGUCGGCGUUUAUGCGCCGCCUGGAGGAAAGUCCGGGCUCCACGGAAACACGGUGCCGGGUAACGCCCGGCGGGGGUGACCCCAGGGAAAGUGCCACAGAAAGCAAACCGCCUGCUCAGGCUUCGGUCUGGCGGGCAAGGGUGAAAGGGUGCGGUAAGAGCGCACCGCGCGGGUGGUGACACACGCGGCAGGGCAAACCCCACCGGGAGCAAGAUCGAGUAGGGAUGACGCGCCGGCGCUUCGGUUCCGGCAGGUGCGUUUCCGGCCCAGUCAUCCGGGUUGAUCGCGUGAGGCGUCCGGCAACGGACGUCCCAGAUGAAUGGUCAUCAGCCGAACCCUUCGGGUUUGGCGACAGAACCCGGCUUACAGGCCGCCUGAUCCC